AGGUGCAGCUUUCCUGACGACUGUCGCCUCUGCCGGGAUGAUUGCAGGAUUUGGCUCAACGAUUGCAAGCAGGAUCAGAUGGUGGCAGGUGUCCCAGCAGGGUCAGACAGCCAUGGAAGUACAGUCUACAGAGCUCUGGUGAAUUUUGUAGUAUAUUAUAAUGAGUGAAGGGAUACAAAGUCACAUCUUGAGUUGAUGGCGAGGCUACAGUCUGGGAAUAAUGGUCAUUUCAGGAUCAGAUGGUGACAGGGGUCUCAGCCAACCAGGGAAGACUAGUGCGUGACGGCACUGAGGUGAACUUUUGCAGCUGCAACACUUUAUUCUCUUUUUGCAACAAACACUGGACAAGGUUGAAACUAUUUUAAGGCAGUCUGACAAACCUCUAUAAAGUAGAUUUUCAAACUGUAUCAAGGGUUGAUAGAGGCUUUUCCUGAUGACACACAACAUGCAUAACAAAAAUGUAAGACCUGGGAGACACUUGAUGAUGAUGAAUGGAUACAUGUGUUUGAAUGCCCAGUCACGUUCAUAUAAUCGCAGACAUAAAUUUCUGCAGUUUAAGACCUUCCACAGAACGUACUAUAUGCCAGUGAAACUGAAUAUCAUGCAGUCAGAAAUGUAAUUCCUCUGCUGGAAGUGUAAAACACAAAAGGGAACACAUUUGCAUAUGUUGUGGUCUUGUGAAGGUUGACUGAAUUCUGGCAAAGAGUAUGUUAUUUUAUCUCAGCAUGUCUACAUACUCCCCUUUCUCCAUGUUUUUGUUUGCUUGGAAAUGUUGAUACUGUAGACUUAACUGUGUAAUGUAGGAUUUAUAGCAACUAAGAAAUCCAUUGCCAUUAACUGGAAGGUUGGUUCUCCUCCCACAAUAUCAAAAGUAUACUGUGCAACUUUCACAAGGUCUGCCUUAUAUGGAAUACUGUACAACAAAAGGAGUCUGUAUUGAAAACAUGCCCACGUCAAUGGAGAUGCCUAUUUAGGCGAUCCCUAGCUGCUGGGCUGCUCAGUCCUGGCCAUGGUGGUCUGCCUGGCCCUUGGUUGUCACUCUGGACUUGGCCAGAGUGACAAUAAUGAAUGUUUCACUAAGAUCCUAAAGCUGAGUGGGGUGUGUUGGGUUGGAGCGCUGCAGGGCGGUGGACCCUAGGGACAGGACAGGGGCGAUCCAGCUAUAUUAUGUGAAAGUUAAAAGAGCUCUACAAUACUGUUAGGCCGAUGAUACGAAUUACAGUGCCCUCUGAAAUGAUUGGGACAGUGAAGCAUUUUUUCUUAUUUUGGCUCUGAAAUCAAACAAUGACUAUGAGGUUAAAGUGCAGACUGUCAGCUUUCAUUUGAGGGUAUUCAUCCAUAUCGGGUGAACCAUUUAGAAAUUACAGCACUUUUUGUACAUAGUCCCAUUUUAAGGGUGCAAAAGUAUUGGGACAAAUUCAUUUUAUGUGUAUUAAAUUAGUAAAAGGUUUGAGUAUUUAUCAUAUUCAUAGCACAAAAUGACUACAUCAAGCUUGUGACUCUACACAUUUGUUGGAUGCAUUUGCUGUUUGUUUUGGUUAGGUUUCAGGUUAAUUUGUGCCCAAUAGAAAUUAAUGGUAAAUAAUGUAUUAUGUCAUUUUAGAGUCACAUUCAUGUAGAAGUGUUUAGAUUCUUAUUUACAAUAAGUGACCACAAAAGGGUCAUAUUCAUAUUUAUCUUUAAAUGCAAGAAAUGAGCUUUUGUUGCCCAAAAACUCUUGCCAGGUUAUGCCCCCCCCCACACUUCUAAAACCAAAGUUGCGCCCCCUACUGUUUAUGGCUGUAAUGAUGGUUAUGUUUGUGCAGCGAUUGUGUGCGUGUUCACGUGUGCAUGUGCGUGCACUGGGUCGUAACCUUUGAACCACUCCCUUUUUGGGGUUCGCAGGGCAAAAUCUAGCACUACUCCUGACCACGUCCCAUAGGGCUCUGGUCAAAAGGAGCACAUUAUUUAUGGGAUAGGGUGCCAUUUGGGACAGUAACAGAUCCUGAGCUUAUAUCACUUUUGAAAAUAUACUUGGCAGAGCAGCACAGUGGUGCCUUUGUUUUUUUUCAUUCUAUUUUAAGAUGAGGGCCAUCUUUUUAAACUUCCAUCUCAGCCAAAUAUGCCUUGUAAAGUAGUCAAAUUAGAUUUAGCGUGUUAUGAGAGGAACGUGGUUGUGAGGUCACAGUGGCUGAGAAGCUUCACUCACAGAGGAUAUGGCCUGUAGACAGCCCAUGACCAGACGAGAUUACUAGGCAGUUACUGACUUAUGAGGCACUGUAAAGAGCUGAUACCAAGGCUAGUUUAUAAUGGAACCAGGGCUGUCUCUGGUAUCUCACACAUGAAUCUGGCAGCUCACACAUGAAGCUUGCAGUAGAACUGUUAUGACUUAUGGCUGUUUCUUUGUGGUAACUCAUUGGUUAACCAGAAAUAAUGUUUAGUAUGCUCACAUUUCUUCUAAGAAAGCUCAUACUGAAAAGAGAGAAACUCGUAAAGAAUCAUACAUAAGAGUAGACAGCAUUAUAAUAGGCAGUUGGCAUUCUUUUUUAUGUUGAUGCACACUGACUAGCCUACACCAAACCACAUCGCUUCCUCGCAGAUUUUUACCCUUCCAGGAAGAGCUGCUAAGUCUCGCCAAACUCUAAUUAUAGCUAAUCAAAUGAGCAGGCCACUUAAACACAUGGACAAUAAAUACAUCGGGUUUUCUAGACAGCUUGUUCAGUCUUAGGCUGGGUCCAUAAUGGCACACUUUUCCUUACAGUGCACCAGAACCCUGGUCAAAAGUAAGGCACUAUAUAGGAAAUAGGGCACCCUUUUAGACGCUACCUUGAAAUGCAGCUCCUCCAGGGCAGGUAGGGCUCUACAGGGCAGGCAGGGCUCUACAGGGCAGGUAGGGCGCUACAGGGCAGCAGGGCUCUACAGGGCAGGCAGGGCUCUACAGGGCAGCCAGGUCAGGCAGGGCUCUACAGGGCAACCAUUUUACUCGCACAUGCGCCUAAAUAUUUUGCUGUACGACCUGGAAUUUUAAUUUGGGAGAACCAGCUUUAUUACCGCAAAUAUUUUUCAUUGUGCUCCUAAAUUUCUUUGUGUGUACCUACAUGUUUCAACUUAGUCACACACAUGCUCCUUGUAAUUUUUUAUUUUUUAAAAUUUAAAGGUCAGCGUAGAGCCCCGCCAGGGCAGGUUUACAGUUUGUUAGACACCCUGCAAACUGGAAUCGAUCCACAGAUUCCACCUCUAAAUGUUCUGCUCACUGGGCUGACUCAGUUUGGGCCCACGUGUGAAGUACGUCAAUGUCACAUCCAGCAUGUUAUCCAGGGAACGGUGGACAGCACUGGCUAUAGCACCACUGUACAAGGUGAAAACUGAUUUUG